rnacentral:rRNA from 1 species
UGGGGAAUAUUGCGCAAUGGGGGAAACCCUGACGCAGCGACGCCGCGUGCGGGAUGAAGGCCUUCGGGUUGUAAACCGCUUUUGAUUGGGAGCAAGCCUUUUGGGUGAGUGUACCUUUCGAAUAAGCGCCGGCUAACUACGUGCCAGCAGCCGCGGUAAUACGUAGGGCGCAAGCGUUAUCCGGAGUUAUUGGGCGUAAAGAGCUUGUAGGCGGUUCGUCGCGUCUGGUGUGAAAGCCCAUCGCUUAACGGUGGGUUUGCGCCGGGUACGGGCGGGCUAGAGUGCAGUAGGGGAGACUGGAAUUCCCGGUGUAACGAUGGAAUGUGUAGAUAUCGGGAAGAACACCAAUGGCGAAGGCAGGUCUCUGGGCUGUUACUGACGCUGAGAAGCGAAAGCGUGGGGAGCGAACAGG